UUUUAAUUGUAAAUGGCGCUAGCACCAUUUCCCUUACCGCUGAUGAAAUAUUUGGCUCUAAUAUUCAGUCACUCAAAUAAAAGAAAUACUCACUCACUUUAUUCCAAAAAAAAACCUUACUCGCUGAAAUGGAAAAACUCACGCAAGAACCCUAACUCUUGAAUGUGGCCGUCAAUCGCAUCUCUCCAAUUCCUUCAAUCCCUAAAUCAUUCUCUCUAAUCACUUUGUCGUUCUCUCCAAUCGUUACCAUUCUCUUCAAUUUCAUCAACUUCGAAUCGACGCUGCCUUCGAGAAAUAGUUGUCGUCACCUAACUCGUUACACGUUCAUGUUUGUUUUCCCCUUCCUCCUUCUCUGUCUAUCGUAUUGUGAUGUUAUCGUUGAUGUAUUUGUAUUGGUGCUGCGUUUGUGUUGUAGUGACUGUAAGAAAUAUAUUUGUGUUAUGAAAUCAUAGUUAGGGUUUUUUUUAUGUACAAAAUUGGGGAUUUUGUGAUACUUCUUAAAAUUGGAGAUUUUAUCAUUGUUUGUUGCAACGAUUCUCUUCAAAAUCAUCGUUAGUUGUUGUUCCUCUCCUCAAUCUGUGCAUUUGGUGCUAGAUUUUGAUUAUUAGUAGUGCUUUUAUAAUAUUUUGUUGUGAUUUUGAUUNNNNNNNNNNNNNNNNNNNNNNNNNNNNNNNNNNNNNNNNUAGGUGUUGUGGUUAACUAAUUCUUCUGAAGACAAAGUGAGAGCUAUGAAGUAUGAAUUUAACUCUAGCCACUUUUUUCAUUUGUAGGUUGCUUCUUGAGGUUACUUACUUCGCAUGAAUGAUGAAUCCCAAGUUUGAGCACAUAUUGUGGAGCUAAGGUUCAGGUAUCACAUCAUGU
rnacentral:lncRNA from 1 species